rnacentral:piRNA from 1 species
AAAAUUCUGUUCUCAGGAAGCCAGUGG